rnacentral:rRNA from 1 species
AGCCGCGGUAACACGUAGGGGGCGAGCGUUGUCCGGAUUUAUUGGGCGUAAAGAGCUCGUAGGCGGUUCCGUCAGUCGGGUGUGAAAACUCUGGGCUCAACCCAGAGACGCCACCCGAUACUGCGGUGACUAGAGUCCGGUAGGGGAGUGCGGAAUUCCUGGUGUAGCGGUGAAAUGCGCAGAUAUCAGGAGGAACACCAACGGCGAAGGCAGCACUCUGGGCCGGUACUGACGCUGAGGAGCGAAAGCGUGGGGAGCGAACAGGAUUAGAUACCCUGGUAGUCCACGCCGUAAACGUUGGGCACUAGGUGUGGGACCUUUCCAACGGGUUCCGUGCCGCAGCUAACGCAUUAAGUGCCCCGCCUGGGGAGUACGGCCGCAAGGCUAAAACUCAAAGGAAUUGACGGGGGCCCGCACAAGCGGCGGAGCAUGUUGCUUAAUUCGAGGCAACGCGAAGAACCUUACCUGGGUUUGACAUGUAGGGAAAAGCUGCAGAGAUGCAGUGUCCUUCGGGGCCCUACACAGGUGGUGCAUGGCC